rnacentral:rRNA from 1 species
GACGAACGCUGGCGGCGUGCUUAACACAUGCAAGUCGAACGGAAAGGCCCUGCUUUUGUGGGGUGCUCGAGUGGCGAACGGGUGAGUAACACGUGAGUAACCUGCCCUUGACUUUGGGAUAACUUCAGGAAACUGGGGCUAAUACCGGAUAGGAGCUCCUGCUGCAUGGUGGGGGUCGGAAAGUUUCGGCGGUUGGGGAUGGACUCGCGGCUUAUCAGCUUGUUGGUGGGGUAGUGGCUUACCAAGGCUUUGACGGGUAGCCGCCCUGAGAGGGUGACCGGCCACAUUGGGACUGAGAUACGGCCCAGACUCCUACGGGAGGCAGCAGUGGGGAAUAUUGCACAAUGGGCGGAAGCCUGAUGCAGCAACGCCGCGUGCGGGAUGACGGCCUUCGGGUUGUAAACCGCUUUCGCCUGUGACGAAGCGUGAGUGACGGUAAUGGGUAAAGAAGCACCGGCUAACUACGUGCCAGCAGCCGCGGUGAUACGUAGGGUGCGAGCGUUGUCCGGAUUUAUUGGGCGUAAAGGGCUCGUAGGUGGUUGAUCGCGUCGGAAGUGUAAUCUUGGGGCUUAACCCUGAGCGUGCUUUCGAUACGGGUUGACUUGAGGAAGGUAGGGGAGAAUGGAAUUCCUGGUGGAGCGGUGGAAUGCGCAGAUAUCAGGAGGAACACCAGUGGCGAAGGCGGUUCUCUGGGCCUUUCCUGACGCUGAGGAGCGAAAGCGUGGGGAGCGAACAGGCUUAGAUACCCUGGUAGUCCACGCUGUAAACGGUGGGUACUAGGUGUGGGGUCCAUUCCACGGGUUCCGUGCCGUAGCUAACGCUUUAAGUACCCCGCCUGGGGAGUACGGCCGCAAGGCUAAAACUCAAAGGAAUUGACGGGGCCCCGCACAAGCGGCGGAGCAUGCGGAUUAAUUCGAUGCAACGCGUAGAACCUUACCUGGGUUUGACAUGGAUCGGGAGCGCUCAGAGAUGGGUGUGCCUCUUUUGGGGUCGGUUCACAGGUGGUGCAUGGCUGUCGUCAGCUCGUGUCGUGAGAUGUUGGGUUAAGUCCCGCAACGAGCGCAACCCUUGUUCACUGUUGCCAGCACGUUAUGGUGGGGACUCAGUGGAGACCGCCGGGGUCAACUCGGAGGAAGGUGGGGAUGACGUCAAGUCAUCAUGCCCCUUAUGUCCAGGGCUUCACGCAUGCUACAAUGGCUGGUACAGAGAGUGGCGAGCCUGUGAGGGUGAGCGAAUCUCGGAAAGCCGGUCUCAGUUCGGAUUGGGGUAUGCAACUCGACCUCAUGAAGUCGGAGUCGCUAGUAAUCGCAGAUCAGCAACGCUGCGGUGAAUACGUUCCCGGG